UGGGGAAUCUUGGACAAUGGGCGCAAGCCUGAUCCAGCCAUGCCGCGUGAGUGAUGAAGGCCCUAGGGUCGUAAAGCUCUUUCGCCAGGGAUGAUAAUGACAGUACCUGGUAAAGAAACCCCGGCUAACUCCGUG
rnacentral:rRNA from 1 species